rnacentral:rRNA from 1 species
AUGCAUGCCGCUGCAGCAAAUAGAAAUCUAACAACCAUCAACACAUCUAAAGAAGCCCACUUGAACAUGAAAAUCUUUUCAAAAACCUUGAGCUCCCAAGAUUUGAAAUUGCCUGGCUCAUCCCCCUGCAAACCCUCUCCGUUCACCAAGCGACCUUACUGCUCGGGGAAGCCGCGGACAGAGAGGAGGAGCAAUAUCAGCAAGCUUAGGCCGGAGAACAGCGCCGUCGGCGAGCUCGGGGGCGGGGGCUCGUUCCUGGGGGAGGGGAGGCGAGCGGGAGGAGGGGACGCGCUGAGGUCGGAGGCAGAGAUGAACCAGCAACGGUGA